GAUGAACGCUGGCGGCGUGCCUAAUACAUGCAAGUCGAGCGAACAGAUAAGGAGCUUGCUCCUUUGACGUUAGCGGCGGACGGGUGAGUAACACGUGGGUAACCUACCUAUAAGACUGGAAUAACUCCGGGAAACCGGGGCUAAUGCCGGAUAAUAUUUAGAACCGCAUGGUUCUAAAGUGAAAGAUGGUUUUACUAUCACUUAUAGAUGGACCCGCGCCGUAUUAGCUAGUUGGUGGGGUAAUGGCUUACCAAGGCAACGAUACGUAGCCGACCUGAGAGGGUGAUCGGCCACACUGGAACUGAGACACGGUCCAGACUCCUACGGGAGGCAGCAGUAGGGAAUCUUCCGCAAUGGGCGAAAGCCUGACGGAGCAACGCCGCGUGAGUGAUGAAGGUCUUCGGAUCGUAAAACUCUGUUAUUAGGGAAGAACAAAUGUGUAAGUAACUGUGCACGUCUUGACGGUACCUAAUCAGAAAGCCACGGCUAACUACGUGCCAGCAGCCG
rnacentral:rRNA from 1 species